GCUGGCGGUAGGCUUAACACAUGCAAGUCGAGCGGUAACAGGCAUUUUGAUUCAGCUUGCUGAAUCUCGCGCUGACGAGUGGCGGACGGGUGAGUAACGCGUAGGAAUCCACCUAGUAGAAGGGGAUAGCCCGGGGAAACUCGGAUUAAUACCGUAUACGUCCUUAGGGAGAAAGAGGGCUUAGCUUUGAUGCUCUCGCUAUUAGAUGAGCCUGCGUAAGAUUAGCUUGUUGGUGAGGUAAAGGCUCACCAAGGCUACGAUCUUUAGCUGGUCUGAGAGGACGAUCAGCCACAUUGGGACUGAGACACGGCCCAGACUCCUACGGGAGGCAGCAGUGGGGAAUAUUGGACAAUGGGCGCAAGCCUGAUCCAGCCAUACCGCGUGUGUGAAGAAGGCCUUCGGGUUGUAAAGCACUUUAAGUAAGGAAGAAAAGUAUAUUGUUAAUACCAAUGUACCGUGACAUUACUUACAGAAUAAGGACCGGCUAAUUCCGUGCCAGCAGCCGCGGUAAUACCGGAAGGUCCAAGCGUUAAUCGGAAUUACUGGGCGUAAAGCGCGCGUA
rnacentral:rRNA from 1 species